UGGGGAAUUUUGGACAAUGGGCGCAAGCCUGAUCCAGCAAUGCCGCGUGCAGGAUGAAGGCCUUCGGGUUGUAAACUGCUUUUGUACGGAACGAAACGGCUCUGGUUAAUACCUGGGGCUAAUGACGGUACCGUAAGAAUAAGCACCGGCUAACUACGUGCCAGCAGCCGCGGUAAUACGUAGGGUGCGAGCGUUAAUCGGAAUUACUGGGCGUAAAGCGUGCGCAGGCGGUUAUAUAAGACAGAUGUGAAAUCCCCGGGCUCAACCUGGGAACUGCAUUUGUGACUGUAUAGCUAGAGUACGGCGGAGGGGGAUGGAAUUCCGCGUGUAGCAGUGAAAUGCGUAGAUAUGCGGAGGAACACCGAUGGCGAAGGCAAUCCCCUGGGCCUGUACUGACGCUCAUGCACGAAAGCGUGGGGAGCAAACA
rnacentral:rRNA from 1 species